rnacentral:rRNA from 1 species
UGUAAGCGUAUACCAAAGUUGUUGCAGUUAAAACGCUCGUAGUCGGACUUUGGCAGUUCCGGAUGUGUGCACGUCGUGUGCGCACUUCGCGGGGAUUGCUUUUGUGGUCUUGCGUAGGAUGAGGCACUUUUAUUAGUGAACGUCCUCACGCAACCACUUUUUACUGUGAGAAAAUCAGAGUGCUCAAAGCAGGCGUUUGCCGUGAAUGUAUUAGCAUGGAAUAAUAGAAUAGGACUUGGUUCUAUUUUGUUGGUUUGUUGGGACUGAGUAAUGAUUAAGAGGGACAGUUGGGGGCAUUUGUAUUUCGGUGCUAGAGGUGAAAUUCUUAGAUUACCGAAAGACAAACUGCUGCGAAAGCGUCUGCCAAGGAUGUUUUCAUUGA